rnacentral:rRNA from 1 species
CAGUCGCCGCGGUAAUACGUAGGUCCCGAGCGUUGUCCGGAUUUAUUGGGCGUAAAGCGAGCGCAGGCGGUUAGAUAAGUCUGGAGUUAAAGGCUGUGGCUUAACCAUAGUACGCUUUGGAAACUGUUUAACUUGAGUGCAAGAGGGGAGAGUGGAAUUCCAUGUGUAGCGGUGAAAUGCGUAGAUAUAUGGAGGAACACCGGUGGCGAAAGCGGCUCUCUGGCUUGUAACUGACGCUGAGGCUCGAAAGCGUGGGGAGCAAACAGGAUUAGAUACCCCAGUAGUCCCUGUCUCUUAUACA